rnacentral:rRNA from 1 species
GAUGAACGCUAGCGGGAGGCCUAACACAUGCGAGUCGAACGGGAUUGAGAGCUUGCUCUCAUGAGAGUGGCGCACGGGUGAGUAACGCGUAUGCAACCUGCCUUUAACAGAGGGAUAGCCCAUAGAAAUGUGGAUUAAUACCUCAUAGUUCUGCGCGAUCGAAUGAUUUUUCAGAUAAAGCUCCGGCGGUUAAAGAUGGGCAUGCGUGACAUUAGCUAGUUGGUGAGGUAACGGCUCACCAAGGCGACGAUGUCUAGGGGUUCUGAGAGGAUGAUCCCCCACACUGGUACUGAGACACGGACCAGACUCCUACGGGAGGCAGCAGUGAGGAAUAUUGGUCAAUGGGCGCAAGCCUGAACCAGCCAUCCCGCGUGCAGGAUGACGGCCCUAUGGGUUGUAAACUGCUUUUAUACACCAAGAAAAAUCCGAACGUGUUCGGACCCGACGGUAGUGUAUGAAUAAGCAUCGGCUAACUCCGUGCCAGCCGCCGCAGUAACAC